CAUUGAACGGACGCAAUAGUAACUAGGAUGGUUGCUACUAAGGAAGACAAUGGAUACCUCUAGGAUAGAGGAAGGACUGAACAUCAGGAUGAUGUAAGGGACACCGCUCACGGAACAAGUGAAGAGAGUUAACGACGGACUGUUAACGGAUCAGGAUAAGAUCAAGGACACCGCUAGGACGGCGACGAACGGAAUAAGCUGAAGGAAUCAGCAUACUAUCAUGGAUUUGAUGCAUGGAGCACCACUUAGUAGCCGGACUGCUGCGAGUAGAGUUAUAACCCCAUUAAGCGAGAGCUUGGUGGGGUUUUUCUUUUU
rnacentral:other from 1 species